rnacentral:pre_miRNA from 1 species
AAAGUACUCCCUCCAUCCGAAAAUACUUGUCAUCAAAAUGGAUAAAAAGAGAUGUAUCUAGAACUAAAAUACGUCUAGAUACAUCCCCUUUUAUCCAUUUUGAUGACAAGUAUUUCCGGACAGAGGGAGUAUAAG